UCUUUGCUUCUCCUUGCAUCUUUCUGUUUUGUCAUUUAUUUUCAAAACGAGAGAGAGAGAAAGCAUGAAUGAUGUGCCAAGCGUUGCUCUAGUUUCUGGGAAGGAAAGAGUAGAAAAAAUAAUCACAGUCUUGGUUCUUAUGCAACUUCAACUCUUAACAGCAAAAGUAGACAUCUUACAAAUUUAAUUAAUUUCAUCGGACAUACUAUUAUGAAUACAAGUUUCUGUAGAAGCAUAUGCUGAAGGACCAAGACAUAUGAAAUUCUCAUUAUGCAAUUUACAUUUAAGGCAAAUAACUAAAAUAAGGGAUACACAGUAAUAGAACAAGAUAUAAUUUUUUAAAACUUCAGCUGUUUCUUCAGAGGAAAUUUUGAUAAUGCGAGAAAUGAAGGACUUCAAAAUAAAGGAGACUUAGAUAGCUCUCAAUAGUAAAUUACAUUCUCUCUGCCAAAUGCCAAGGGCAUAUCUAAAGUUUCUUACAUUGUAGCAGUAGAGAGAACAGGUAUACUCAUAUAGUAGUGGCAAGUUUUAACAUAAAUAAAUAUGAGCCAUUAUCUAGCAUUUACAAUGAUUUUUUUUAAUGUAUGCAAUGACAAAUGGCAAGUAAAAAGGCUAUUGUUUCUGAAAUAUAAUUCUUGAUUACUUCAUACCUCUAAGCUUCAACUUUGAUAGAGAUGGAAAAAUUUUUCUAACUCCCACAUCAGCCAUAUCAUAAAGAGUUAGUGGUUUCAAUUAAAACAUUACAGACUAGAUGCAGCCAGGUGGAACAACUCCCAAUGAAGGACCAAGACCACUGGCGUGCUCCUAACACGUCUUCGGAGGGAAGGCACAAAAGCUGGGCUGAAUGGGGAAAGCUAGGAAACUUGCAUGGGGCUACCACACGCCAGAACUCGUGAAAUAAUUGUUAAGUCACAAGUAAGGACAAGAAGAAGGAAACAGCUGUGGACAUAUUUGAGUUAACAAAAAACCUACCAAAGUUAUUUUUUGCAGGAACAAUGCAAAAUGUAGCUUGAUUGGGAGCUGUUUCAUGCACAGUGCAAUCAUCACUGCCUUUUUUCUUUGCUUUUUUUGUUUUUAUAACAGGCAUGUAUACACUCUUCUUUGGGACACAAGGAAUUAAUUAUUCACUGAGAAGUAAACAGGUUGUGAUUAAAGAAGAGUGCUAAAGGCACAAAUAGCAAGAUGCUUAGAGUCACUGUGAACUGAAGAUUUUUGGAGUAAAAGUCCAAUGCUCCAAGAUGGAUCAUAUGUAUUCAGAAGGUAUGUAUUAUAUCAUAUAAUUUUAAGUUUGUCUGUUUAGAAUAUAAAACAAAACCUCAGAGAUAAAAAUUUCCAGAAUGGAUAAACUAGUUUGUUCUUUGUAGAUUAAAAUAAAUCAUAUUAGUAUAUCAUUGGAUGAUAUGUACACAAUCUUCAUCUUAUCACACUAUAAAGUUAGUGAGCAGUCCAGAAGAUCAACCUCACUUCUGAUACUACCCGCAAGUUUGAUGAUUCCUGAGACCACCCUGAGUUGCAAUAAUUCACAAGAAGGAAUAAUAGAACUGAGUGAAAGCUGAUUUUAUCAUGAUUACAGUUUAUCAUAGUGGAAAAAUACAGAUUAAAAUCAACCAGGGUAAGAGAUGCAUGGAACAGUGUCCAUGAAAGUUUUGCUUCUAGUUGUCUUUUUCCAGUGGGGUCAGGGACAAUCCUAACUUUCUUGAUAGUAAAGGUGACAAUAUGCAUGAAAUAUUUGCAGCCAGAGAAGCUUACCCAAGCCUUGUUACACAGAGCUCUAUUGAGGCGCAAUCACAUAGAUAUAGUUGACGGAUUCUGUGGCUGACUUUAGCCUCCCCACCCUCCGGAUGUAGAGCAGAUACAACAUGGACCAAAUUUCCACUAUAAGUCACAUUGUUAGACUAUUGCUAUGGCCUAAGGCUUUCAGGAAAAGCAAAACAAAAGAUCAGGAUGAAUGUUUGUUAUAUUUUCAGUGUUUGGUGUAAUAUAUUUAAAAUAGUAAUAUUGCCAGUUUUAAUUUGAUUUAUAUUUAAG